CAAAGUGAAAAUUGGAGCCUAUAAAUUAGCCAACAUUUCUCAUCUUCAACAUCAAAAGUGCCUAAUCUAUCUAUAUCUACAUUUUCUUUGCUUCAUAUAUUAUUAGCAUAUAUCUUCUUCUCUAGAAAAAAACCAUGGCACACAUUAACAACAACAUCAUUAGAGGAGUGUUCUUUGUUGUAUUCAUUGUGGGGUUUUUGUUAGCUGUUGAGGCAAGACCACAGGGUAAUGAGUUCUCUCCAGCAUCAGCACCAGCACCUGAUGUUGGGGCUGGAUAUUUUGUGACAUGUUCUGGACCAUUUAUUUGUUCAUCACUUUUCAUUUCUCUAGUUCUACUAAUUUUCCAUUAAAUUUUAGUAUUGUAUUUUUUUUGGUUACGUUAUUAUUUGUGUUUUUUAUUAAAUUUUGGCCAAAUAAUUAUUUGGUUAAGGUGUAAUUCAUUAUAUGAAUGAAAAUAAUAUGAGUGUUACAAUGUUGAUUAAGAUAGUAAAAUACCAAGAGCGUGGAGAAUGACUUUAUAAGACAUUUUAUUUUCUUCUUUGCUUUCAAACCAGUUUCUGGUCAAAACUACCUAAUAAGCAAUUGACAUGCAUUAAUUAAACUAAUGUGACUUAAACCGAUACAUUGUUGUGAAGCAUAGCCCAAUUGACAUUAAUUCUUCAAAAAAUUGAAUGUCUUUUUGUGUAGCCGUUUGAAUUAUAUUUUUAAUAUUCCAAACAACUUAUAAUUCUCAACAAAUACGCAAAAUCAAACAUGUAAUUUGCAGUUAAAUUUAUUCGAUUUGUGUAAUUAUCAACUUUUUUAAAUAUACUUUAAAAAUAAGAAGAUAAUAAGAGUAAUAAGAAGAUAAUGUUAUAUAGUUUUUUGUAUAAAUAAGAAGAUAAUGAGGGUAAAAUAGGGGAACACAAAUUACAUCAUGAAGAAGUACUUAUUUUGUAUUUCCCUUUAUUAAGUAGUAUAGAUAUAUAAAUGUGUCAAGUGAGGGAUCAUUUCCAAUAAUGGAAAAAAAUUGCAUUAAAAAGAAUAAAAAAUUAAUAUGGCCUUAUUACCUUUUAUAUAUAAUAAUAUUAGAUUUUUAUCUUUCAAUUGAAAAUAAAAUUAACAAGUUGCCUCAAGUACACAAGAUUACUUUCCAUAAAUGUGAGAAGUUUUUCUAACAUUAUAAGAUACUUUUAAGAAAAAACAUAAAUAACCAAAAUCAAUUGGUUUUUAUAGGCACCUUAAACUAGUUAAAAAUCAUCAUGCCACAUGGAUUAAUUUAGCUUAAUAAGUGAUUUUAUCUUCCAAUUUUGGAUAUGCUAACUAUGUUAAACAUUAGGAAAAACUAUUUUCCCCUUAGAUAUAUGUUAAGCAUGAAUAUAUCUAAUGAAGAAUACCAACAACUCCAAAUUUGAUAAGAAUAGCAAAAAUUAAAAACUGAACAAAGUAUAAUAUGUGCUAUUUCUUAUUUAUUCAUUUAUCAACUCAAAUGCCUCAAAUUGAAUGGUAAUGAGAAGUGGUCACAAAAUAAAAGAAUAGGCAUGAUAGCAGCAGAACACAUCCCACAUAGUGGUACAUGUUUGAUUCCUCUUAAGCAAUAUUUCGGGUUCGAGUCUUGUGGAUGAAAAAAUGUUCGCUAGAAGAGUUAGCCCCACAUAAUCUCAUACAAUAUUGCAUCCAGUAAAAGAAUACAUGUGAUCCCAAAAAACAUCAAAUAGCCGUUUGAGACCAAACAAAAGUAAAAGAACUGUUUUUGUGGACCCACUCCCAAUCCAACCAUUAAAGCAUAGAGACGUUGAUGUCCAAAUUCCAAUGUCUAUCAAACACUCAAAUUUCACAUAAUAACGUUAUGUUAAACAAAAACAUUAAUUAAUUUUAAAAUACUUGUAACAACAAAGUGAAAAUUGGAGCCUAUAAAUUAGCCAACAUUUCUCAUCUUCAACAUCAAAAGUGCCUAAUCUAUCUAUAUCUACAUUUUCUUUGCUUCAUAUAUUAUUAGCAUAUAUCUUCUUCUCUAGAAAAAAACCAUGGCACACAUUAACAACAACAUCAUUAGAGGAGUGUUCUUUGUUGUAUUCAUUGUGGGGUUUUUGUUAGCUGUUGAGGCAAGACCACAGGGUAAUGAGUUCUCUCCAGCAUCAGCACCAGCACCUGAUGUUGGGGCUGGAUAUUUUGUGACAUGUUCUGGACCAUUUAUUUGUUCAUCACUUUUCAUUUCUCUAGUUCUACUAAUUUUCCAUUAAAUUUUAGUAUUGUAUUUUUUUUGGUUACGUUAUUAUUUGUGUUUUUUAUUAAAUUUUGGCCAAAUAAUUAUUUGGUUAAGGUGUAAUUCAUUAUAUGAAUGAAAAUAAUAUGAGUGUUACAAUGUUGAUUAAGAUAGUAAAAUACCAAGAGCGUGGAGAAUGACUUUAUAAGA
rnacentral:lncRNA from 1 species